rnacentral:rRNA from 1 species
GUGCCUUGGAGUCUCAGAGAAUUGAUCUUGGUCAGGAUGAACGCUAGCUACAGGCUAACACAUGCAAGUCGAGGGGCAGCAUUGGAGUAGCAAUACUCAGAUGGCGACCGGCGCACGGGUGAGUAACACGUAUCCAACCUGCCGCUUACUCGGGGAUAGCCUUUCGAAAGAAAGAUUAAUACCCGAUGGUAUAAAGAGUUCGCAUGUUCUCUUUAUUAAAGAAUUUCGGUAAGCGAUGGGGAUGCGUUCCAUUAGAUAGUUGGCGGGGUAACGGCCCACCAAGUCUACGAUGGAUAGGGGUUCUGAGAGGAAGGUCCCCCACAUUGGAACUGAGACACGGUCCAAACUCCUACGGGAGGCAGCAGUGAGGAAUAUUGGUCAAUGGACGAGAGUCUGAACCAGCCAAGUAGCGUGAAGGAUGACUGCCCUAUGGGUUGUAAACUUCUUCUAUAAGGGAAUAAAGUGAGGGACGUGUCCCUUUUUGUAUGUACCUUAUGAAUAAGGAUCGGCUAACUCCGUGCCAGCCGCAGC